AGUGAACGCUGGCGGUAGGCCUAACACAUGCAAGUCGAACGGCAGCACAGUAAGAGCUUGCUCUUACGGGUGGCGAGUGGCGGACGGGUGAGGAAUACAUCGGAAUCUACUUUUUCGUGGGGGAUAUCGUAGGUAAACUUACGCUAAUACCGCAUACGACCUACGGUUGAAAGCAGGGGAUCUUCGGACCUUGCGCGAUUGAAUUAGCCGAUGUCGGAUUAGCUAGUUGGCGGGGUAAAGGCCCACCAAGGCGACGAUCCGUAGCUGGUCUGAGAGGAUGAUAAGCCAAACUGGAACUGAGACACGGUCCAGACUACUACGGGAGGAAGCAGUGGGGAAUAUUGGACAAUGGGCGCAAGCCUGAUCCAGCCAUACCGCGUGGGUGAAGAAGGCCUUCGGGUUGUAAAGCCCUUUUGUUGGGAAAGAAAAGCAGCAGGUUAAUACCCCGCUGUUCUGACGGUACCCAAAGAAUAAGCACGGGCUAACUUCGUG
rnacentral:rRNA from 1 species